rnacentral:tRNA from 1 species
ACUGGGGUAGCUCAGUCGGUAGAGCGUGAGCCUCUUAAUCUCAGGGUUGUAGGUGUGAGCCCCAUAUUCCUGCA